rnacentral:rRNA from 1 species
AACGAACGCUGGCGGCAGGCUUAACACAUGCAAGUCGAGCGCCCCGCAAGGGGAGCGGCAGACGGGUGAGUAACGCGUGGGAAUCUACCCAUCUCUACGGAAUAACGCAUGGAAACGUGUGCUAAUACCGUAUACGUCCUUCGGGAGAAAGGUUUAUCGGAGAUGGAUGAGCCCGCGUUGGAUUAGCUAGUUGGCGGGGUAAAGGCUUACCAAGGCGACGAUCCAUAGCUGGUCUGAGAGGAUGAUCAGCGACACUGGGACUGAGACACGGCCCAGACUCCUACGGGAGGCAGCAGUGGGGAAUAUUGGACAAUGGGCGCAAGCCUGAUCCAGCCAUGCCGCGUGAGUGAUGAAGGCCCUAGGGUUGUAAAGCUCUUUCACCGGUGAAGAUAAUGACGGUAACCGGAGAAGAAGCCCCGGCUAACUUCGUGCCAGCCGCCGCCGUAAUAC